CAGGUGGUAACACGGAGAGCAAGUGGAAGAAACCUUGGGAGACUUCCAUGACUCAGGAACAAUCACACCUCACUGGGAGACUUGUGACUGACAGGUGGUUCAGGUGAUGUCACAGAGAGCAAGUAGAAGAAAACCUGGGAGACUUGCUUAACUCAAGAGCAAGAGCCGCACCUCACCGGGGAUCUGCAAUGUGUGGCAGCGACUGCAGGAAUCAACACUUCGGUUUGUCAGCACACAGUUACAGCGACCUUGUUCAUCAGACUGUUGGUGAAAGACUCCACAGACCGACUGGGAGACAUGACGUCAGUGCCACCAAGCAGGGAGUAAAACCAAGAGGAGGAAGAGGAGCAUUCAAGAGACAUCAGCUGGCCAGCAGUCCAUUCAGUUUCACAACAGGAAGUGAAGGAUGAAGCAUGAAGGUUUUAGGCCAAAAUGAACGGACAGCAAUCGGGAAUGACACGUCCAGCAAAACCAGCAACACAGCAGUGAGUGUGCAUGCUGGUACGUCAGGUCAGGGGUGAAGUGUUUGGAUUGUGGGCUAAAAUGGCUUGCUUAUACAUGAAUAUCUUUCACACUGGAGGAGCUGGGGUGUGCGUGUGUGUUAGGGGUUUUUGGGUGUUGAUAGGCUUGUUUGUAGGUAUUUCCACCUGCUUAUCAUCCGUUU